GAUGGAUGGAUGGAUGGAUGGAUGGAUGGAUGGAGCGGAGGAGCCAGUGAGAGCCGGAGCGCGUUGGCGGCCAGGCAGCGCAGCCUCCCCGGGACAGCUUAGCCCUAAGCGGGGAGCCAGGAGGGAGGCUUCAGGUCCCACUGGGCUAACACAUCGACUGCUGAAGUCUGCAAGAAGUGCAAUUCCAGCUGCGAGAAACUCCGCCCGGCUUGCUGGAAGAGUCACCUCCUGCCUGGCUAGGGACAGGAUCUGUGGGCGCAGGCUUAAACUCGGGUGCCAGGUGGGACCAAGGACUCUGCCAGCAGCAGCCCCAGCCACCAGCAGUGUAAUGACCCUGGCAAGGAAGAAAGGCAAUGUCUGGAGUUCCCAGGGACCUGUUUAAAGAAGUUUACUCCGAAGCUUGUAAGUCAUCAGUUCUACCUCCCUUCCGGCAACAGGUACCACAAAGUUUACUGCUGUAGCACCUUGCACUUGUCUGGCUAAAGAUUUUGCUUUCAUAUUUCCAAUUUCCAGCCAGCUACAUCUUUCUGGWUAAGYAUGGCAUGGAACAACUCAGCUGGGCACAGUGCUUCAGUGGGAUUUUCCAAUACCCUUUCUUUCACGUGACUGUUGGCUUGCAGUGCCUUSCUUGAUUUUGUUGKUGGUGGUGGGGUUUUUUUCAUUUUGUUUUAAGCAAAUUUUCAUCCCCAUCACCAACUGUUGCUUCUGUUUACAGGGGCCACUCAAAAAUGUCAAUGUCCAAUGGUGAUGGCUGGAGCUCAGACGAGUGACUGCGCUGCCGAUGGAGAAGCCAACCCACCAGAAGGGUCCCAAACACCUUAGAUUGCCAGGGCAGAGGAGAGGACCUUCCUCUGAAAGCAUUGGUAAUGCUGGGGGCUGGAGGCAGGAGGGAGUGAUGGAGGUCCCAUCCGAAAAGCACUGACUUUAAUCUCCUCUCCUCCACUGUCCAUCCUGGUAUCUCYCCUCCCUGCCUACGAGGGCAGAAGGUGGUGGUGGGCAAAGGAUGAGCUCUCCACAGCCGUACAGCCUGUGCCGCAGAGCCAAGAGUGCUGCAGGUCCUCCUGCUGCCUUCCCACCCCACCARCCACCACUGAUGAUUCACCCCAGCUCCAGUCCCUUUCCCUGCCCUUUCCAUGCCUCCUCUAUGCUUGUGGGGACCACAGAGGCCUUUCUCACUGCUUUUGGCCAAAGCGUGGAGGGAGAAGGACCCKCACCCUUCCCUCCCAGCCCACAGCCAGCUAUUCCUGCUCUGGUCCCAGACCUGGCCCCCCACCACCCAGCAGAGAUACCCAAAGGCACUGGGCUCUGAGUGCAUCACCCUUUGGCCCCAGGGAUUUGAGUGCAGGGGUAAGAGACAGAGGGACACAUCCACCCGGCUCCCCAGGCGGUGAGCUGCAGGGAGACCUUCCCACUGCAAAGAGUGAGGGAGRGGAAAGGGGGCAAGUCAUCAUCCUAAUUCUGCAAAAUCACCCCYCCAACCAGAUCCACAGGGAUGAAUGAGACUCACUGAGCACCCCAGGGUGCUUCAUUGAAAAACAGAAAUCUCCCUUUUCCUGAUCAAGUCCCGGAUCUGUAGAUUGGCACCCCCUUCCCACCUCUGUCCGUGUCUUGGAGCUCUGAUGUGCUUUUCAGACUUCUCGUGUUUGCAGACCCCUUACAAUCCUCCACUUGCAAGUCCAUCAAGACAUGGUACAGUUGUCUUCUGCAGACUCGUAGGGAAGGCCAAAGGCUGACAGCGGGGCAGGCAUGAGAGAACCACUAGUCUGAAUGAGGAUAAAAGCAAAACGCACUUUUAGCAAAAAAAACCACAGAUAUUCUUCUAACUAGCGGGAAGCUGUUAAAACAUUAAAGAUGCUUGUCCUAGAGGGAGCUGCAUUGUAUCUGCCUGCGUUACAAUGGGGCGCAGAGUGACGCUAUUGCCAAUGAAGUCAAACCCUGAUGAUCCCRCAUGGUCACAUAAAGGGAAUCUCUCUAAGUUCUCCACUCUUCCUUAUCCUUGUUUGCAAAUCAUAUUCAUGAGAGGGAAGUGCUGAGUGCCUUCUAAAAAUAGCGGUGGUAAUAAUAAUAAUAAUAAAGCCUUUUUACCACAAUAGCUGUUGGAAACU
ensembl:lncRNA